rnacentral:lncRNA from 1 species
AAAGCUUGUUAUUGCACUCUAUGGGAACAUCUAAACUAGAUGAAUCUAUCUCAACCUGUGAUGUAACUGAUUGUGGGCAUAAAAAGAAACCAUGCAGCUAAAUAAUCAUCAUAGCUGUAAAAAAAGCCAAAAGGGAUUCUCAAAUGCAUGUAAUAUAUGUUAAAGACUAUAUUUGAGAUUUUUUAAAUCUCUUUUUAUAAAAGUCCACCUCUUUUUUUUUCUGUUUUAGUCAGCAAAAUAUCACCAGUGUUCUAAAGGUCACUAUCUCCUCAUACGGUGAUGGUAUUGACUGAUUCCUCUGCAACAUUAGACUUGAAGAAUCUGGCUUAUUCUCAGCAUUUCCAACUCUCAGAUAUUUGCAAGUUGCAGCUGACUGAUUGCUCAUCAGUGCUCCAUAAGGGAACUUAUGACAUGCUCAGCAGGCCUUGGUCACAUAUUGGUAGCCAAGAUCCAGGUUUUCACUGAGAGAAGUAAUGGACAGAUGUUUCACUGAAAGAAGUUGAAGCAGAAGUGAAAGUGCUGCAUGUCAAAUAUCAUCCUUUCUUGUAUGAAAAAUAAUACCACUGGAUUUGACAGCUAUCCAGAGAUGCAUGAGCUUGAUGGAAAGAUGGAAAGCAUGUGCUCACUGGUGCCAAUGAUGGGUAGUUCUGGAGAUAAAGCUUUCUCAGAGGUAAACUGUUUGCUGCAAACUGUAUUAUUGAGGGAAAAAAAAAACUUUUUAGUUAAUUAUCAACAUAAAUUGCAAUCCACAGUCUAUUUGCAGUUGUUCUUGGUAAAUUUAUAUUAG